UUCACAACCUCAAAAUGUCUCUCAGCUCCUAACAACUUUGCUAGCCCCCUUUUUCUCUCUUUUUUAUUUUUUUUUUAUUUUUUUUUAUUAUUUUUUUUUUAUUUUUUUUUUUAGGUUGGGGGCCAAGACUUUUCAAAACUAGAGCUGGAGGUUCUCUACUUAUCCCAAUAAAUCAAUUCACUUGAGCACAAGAAUCUAUCCUUUUUAUUUUUCCCAAAUCAUGAUUACAACGCUCACCCUCCCACCUAUAGCU
rnacentral:lncRNA from 1 species